GCGGGAUGUUGUAGGGGGUGGAGCGUCAGCGAUGGGAUAAGGUAACUUCAUUCACCGGGAGGGUGGGCGCAAGGGAGGCAGAGGGAGCUAUAGCGCCAGGAAUACAACUGUGUAUUCCUGGCACUAUAGUAUCCCUUUAAAUGGAAUGGACUUGGGAACAAUUAUAGAUGAAAUCCUAAGCAAUAGUAUACAAUGCUGGCCAGCUAUUGCAAAACCUAGUUGCCUGCUUUCAUG